rnacentral:rRNA from 1 species
AUACUUCUUCGGAAUUAGAGACCGGCGCACGGGUGCGUAACGCGUAUGCAAUCUACCUUUCACAGAGGGAUAGCCCAGAGAAAUUUGGAUUAAUACCUCAUAGUAUAGCAGUUUCGCAUGAAACCACUAUUAAAGUCACAACGGUGAAAGAUGAGCAUGCGUCCCAUUAGCUAGUUGGUAAGGUAACGGCUUACCAAGGCAACGAUGGGUAGGGGUCCUGAGAGGGAGAUCCCCCACACUGGUACUGAGACACGGACCAGACUCCUACGGGAGGCAGCAGUGAGGAAUAUUGGACAAUGGGCGCAAGCCUGAUCCAGCCAUGCCGCGUGCAGGAUGACGGUCCUAUGGAUUGUAAACUGCUUUUAUACGAGAAGAAACCCUCCGACGUGUCGGAGCUUGACGGUAUCGUAAGAAUAAGGAUCGGCUAACUCCGUGCCAGCAGCCGCGGUAAUACGGAGGAUCCAAGCGUUAUCCGGAAUCAUUGGGUUUAAAGGGUCCGUAGGCGGUCAGGUAAGUCAGUGGUGAAAGCCCAUCGCUCAACGGUGGAACGGCCAUUGAUACUGUCUGACUUGAAUUAUUAGGAAGUAACUAGAAUAUGUAGUGUAGCGGUGAAAUGCUUAGAGAUUACAUGGAAUACCAAUUGCGAAGGCAGGUUACUACUAAUGGAUUGACGCUGAUGGACGAAAGCGUGGGUAG